GAGGAGGCGGCGGCGGCGGCGGCGGCGGAGAGGUCCGAGUCAGAGACUGGCAUCUGAGGCAGACAAGCGCCACACGCCGAUCGCUUUGGAAGUGAUGAUGCGCUGAUCAUAUCUAGAAGCAUGGAUCCUCGCCAGCAGGUUGGCAAGGGAGGGAAAGAUGGCGGCGGUGACAGCGGAUGGGGACAAAGAAAGGAUGACUCCCCCGAGCCAGCCCAUCGCGCUCCGCUCCUCCCAUCCUGUGGAACCCGAAUCAGACGCCGAAAUGUUCCCAUUUAAAUACAGCAAUUCUUAUAUUGGCACAAGGGAUAACCCAAGGGAGAAGUACAGUUUCCAGAUCCAUAACAGUGGCAGGCAAAUUUCUUGAAGAUUAAUGAAGAAGUCCUUGGAAAUAAAAAGAAACCUUCCCCAUUAAACCUGAUAAAUGGAGGAGAACAUCUUUUGUAAUAGCGCAAGAACAGAAGAAUAUCCUUUGUAAUAGCACAGUUGCUUGAUCUUAAUGAGGUGCACCACCAAGAAAUGAAAAAUGGGAAGGAAGAAGGGUGCUGUGAUUACUGUAAAUACAGAAAAGAAACUAGGAAAUCCAAAAGCUGCUAAAGGAUAAAGAAUACCUGGAAGAGAUUAAUCCAGAGACACUGCACACAUGAAGACAUUUAUCAUCUCAUGGUAAAAAGCACUGGACUGAAUUUGGACUACUGACUCCACUUAAAAAUGUGACGUGGCUUGUACUGGUUUAAUGGAUUAAGAGUCUUGGACUAGAAUUGCACAGACCCAGCUUCAAGGUCCAACUCAGCUUGCUGGUGACCUUGGCCUAGUCACAGCCUCUCACCACCUUCUGGGGAUGUUGUGAGGAUAAAAACCAGUCAAGAGAUCCUUGAUACAUAACUGCUUGGAGGAAAGCACAACACAUAUAUAAUUCCCUUGAAACAGAACCAAUGACAUCAAGUGCCAACUGGGAUUAUGUGGAAACUGAUGCCUAGACUAUAAAGCCAAGAAAAAUAUCAAAAUGACACUCCUGGAGAUCUAGGGGUUCCAUGGCAAUUACCUGAGAUUUCAGCCUGCACCCAGAGACCUGGCAAGCCUACCACUGGGUGCACCUGUGAGGGUUAUGGGACCAAGAAAAGAGCCUCAUCUGAAGAUAUUAGAGUCUAUACUCUGACAUAUCAUAUGGGAGAAAAUGGUCCUUCAUAUAUACUGAAUCCAAGAAAAACUCUUGCUUUCAUGUUCCAAAUGAAUGCAUACAUUAGUUUAUUUGUAAUAUUGGGUAAACCAUUUAGCUGCUGCAUGCCUCAGACAGUUGUCAAUGCUGUAAAUUCCCCAGUCUUCUCAAACCUCUUCUUCCUCUGAAGCUGCAUGGACCAGCAAGAAGAUAUAUAUUUUUUCAGUCAGGCACGCCAGACUUUAAAGGAAGAUUUCUGCAGAAAAUCAGAAAGCAAAUUCUUUUUCUACCUUUCAUGAAAAGCUAUGAAGGCUUUUUUUAAUGGCUUAUAUGCUAGGAAGUAGGUUAGAGAUCUGAGUAAUAUAAAUAAUAAAUUAUGAACAGUCUUCAUGAAGCUGUAAUUUUAUGGUGAAAUUCCAUGUUACAUUCAUAUGCUUGGGGGGGGGGGGAGCCCAACAACAGCUUUUUCUGUGGAAACGCAGAAUUGGCACAUAGCAUCUGUAAGCAGACAAGCUGCUAAGGUGAGGAAAUGGGUAAUGGUGGGCUCUUCAUCUCCCACCCUCCCCAUGAAAAACUUUACUGGAUGAGACUAAGAGAGAACUUCAAUAUAUACUCUGGGAAGUAUCAGAGUUGUAUUGUGUGUGUGUGUGUGUGUGUGUGUGUGUAUUCCCAAGUUCUUCUUCUCCUCAUUUAGUGUUCUGCUUCCCCAUAGAUGGCCAAAUAAGAUGCCCUUGAGACCUUGAGAGCAGCACAUGCAGGUGCAGCUAUUCUUCUGCUCUGGACUGGUAUGCAGAAGCAUGGUGCCUGUGACUUGUCUCUUUCCUUCCCCAAAUCCUCUCUCUUUCUUAUAGGCAUAUGUGUGUUACGUGUCAUUGCAUCCCAACCAGACUAUUGUUUGUUUGUGAAUGAAAUCUGUACCCACCUAGUAUUAUAUUUUCUUCACUACGUUAGAGAAAGGGACACAGAAGAUAAUGACUGAUAGUGUAAUAGGAGAUGUACAGGUAUGAAUAAAGAAGCCAGAAGCUAGAAAUAAGUAUGUAGCAUCUAAUAACAAGCAACACUAAAAAGUUGUCUCACCAUCUUCCCAAGUUAUAUCUUGCUGUGAGCUGGAGGGGAGGAAAAGCUUGGAAAGCUUGCAAAGAUAUGUUUUGGAUUCUAAAUCCAAUUUCUUGUCCCAACUAGAGUAAAGCCAUUCAGUCAGUGGGAUGUAUAUGUGUGUUGACUUGCCACUCAGUAGUUGAUACAGAGGUCUACUCAAACUGGGCAAGCAACUGGAUAGAGACCUUGGCCUACAACUUUGUAAAUUUACCAGUGGCAGCGUGGGGUAAUAACAUCAUGUCACAAGGUGGAAAAAUCACUCUUGGUUUUAGUAUGACCAACCUGUGGGGGUGACGCUUAGGACCAUGGAUAGAAUUUAGAAUAGACUGAGCAGGUCCUGACAUGGAAGCCACUAGUUGCCCUUGCCAACCAGGACAGCCAGUGAGCAUGUUGGCUGCAGAUUAUUGCAGCUGUAAAAUCUAAGUUGCUCCAGCUCUGAGGAAUCCAGUGAAUUGUCUUACACUCCAGUAUAGAAAUCAUAGUAUAAAUGAAAUGGCAGUGAGGAUAUUAGCUCUGUACCUGGCCCCAAGAAUUCACAGUGCCACUCAUACAAAUGACAAAUAGCUGCAGACAGGAGUUAUUUGGUUUGACAAAGGUAGUUAUAUAUCUUUGCUGUCACAGUCUUGCACAGAUGGAACCAUUUUAACAUAGGCAACAUUUACUAAUGCAAACUGAGAACUAAAAGAUAUAAACUCUAUGUGUAUGUCUGUGUGUCUGAGGUGAUGAAAAUAUAAUUUCAGUUUUUGUGAGCUUUAAUUAGAUCAGGGGUUAAGUUGGUGCUGAGUUCCUGUCUGCUGUACAAAAGGAAGUACAGUCGUCCCUUCCCUUAUGUGGGAGAUCCAUUCCGGACCCCUCUGCAUAAGAGAAAAAAUGUGGAUGCUCAAGCCCCAUUCAUGUGAAUGGGGCCUGUGCCUGCAGCAGCAUGAGGUGCAUGGUGGGCAAACUGUAUCAGAGUGGAGAGGGGAUUAUUCAAGCAGAAUAAUCAAACUGGCAAGGCUGAAGCUGAAGAACAACCAGUUCUAUGCUCACCUACCCAUCCUCUAGCUUUAACAGAGAAAAGAAAUAAGCUUAGAGGGGAUACAGACUGGUAGACAGGGGCGGCGAGACACCCAGGAGGAAGUAAGAUAAUGUUUUCAAAGGGAAAAAAAUUCAGGAGGAAAACAUCUGAUAGAAAUUACGAUACAUAGUGAUUUCAGAUUCAAGUGAUUCUGAUGACUUUAUCACAUGGAG